AGUGUAAACUCUCGACUGGAGGAAGGGAAGCAUGACCACACCACGGUCCUUCGUUUUUCCUUUUUUUCCCUUAAACAUCUUUUAUUUCUGUUAAUAACACAUCGUACUACGUACCUAAUAUUAUCGUCGAGACGAAGAAUUAAUGGUUUUCGCUGAUAUUGCAAUAAAUUCGAUAUAUUCUGCAUAAAAUUUCGAAUAUUAUGUUUGAUGGUGUUUUAAUAUCGACGAAAGAGAACGAUUCGAGCAGCUAAAAUUUGGCGCGAAAACGUGCAUGAUGGCGUCAUCAAUUUAUUUUGCAGAUUAGUUUUACUUCGUGAUAGAUAUAAUUUUUACUCUUCAAAUUUAUAUUUUUGGAUAUAAUCUUACUGGCAGACAACGACGAUAGGACUAUCUUCUUUCAGAAUUUUCUGUGCCGAUUGCCAUAAUGUCACUAAUGACAUGGUCGCAGAUAAAAUCUGCGAAUCUAACCUCUGAAUUAUCGACGAUUAUCAAUUUCUCUAACGUGUAAUACUCAAAUGUUGUGAAUUCUUUCGUUCGAACAUUUAUAUAUGGUACUGGUUUAAAUUCUCUCUUUGGAACAAUAGGACAACACGUCUGUACAAAGUGAACUCAAUUCGUUUCUCCGGUCCACAAAAAGAAGUGCAGGCUGCAAUUUUUCCAACAUAAUGCGCAUAAGGAAUUAAGUUUGAAAAUGUGAUAUUGGUGAUCGCAGUCGAAAGGUAUAAAGGAGCAUCCCAUUGCAAAUUGAUUUUCGACGAUGUCAAUGUCAUUCUGAAAUUCCUUAUUUCCGAUGGCGCUAUUGUAAACAGAUAUCAUCAGAGAUGAUGGAAUCGAUCGAGGAAUUGAAUUUGAAAAACUGGGCUACCUUCAUGAAGAGUUCGAACUUCUUGUGAAAAUAAUGAUAUCAUUGCUCCUUUGCUGAUUGUAACUUUAUAGAAGGUAUAAGAUUCUCAAACACGAAGUCGUACCAGUUACUUGGACAAGGAUACAAGGAUCCCUAAAAAUCGAUAAAACAUUUUCAAACGGCAU